rnacentral:rRNA from 1 species
UUCAUUUUUGUCCUCUUCACAUCCUUCUCCUUCCCGAGGCAUUCAUUUCGCCCCGUUCCCCAUUCUUCUCUUUGUCAGUUUCGCUCGGAGGCAACGAUGACUUCCGGAGAGCUACAAGAAGAGAGAGACGCAUUGGAGUGAGUUGCAUCUGUUGUUCUCCCCCUUCUUCUUUUUGUUUCUUCUUGUAUGUGGUUUUCUCACAGAUCUAGUAUCUAGUUUAUGGGUUGUUUUUGUGUGUUAAUCGAAUCUAGGGUUCGUGCUUCCAAUGCCUCCAUGAGUUUGUUUCUUUUUGUUUGUGUGUCCAUCGAUUUUAGGGAAGGUUUUUUGCCCGCUCGCAAUCCCCCUGAAUGUUAGAAGCACGAGGCUCCUUUUUUCUGUCUGUGUUUUUCGAUCUAUCUAGUGGUGGGUGGAGUGGUUCUGCUGGUGAGGUGGGGAUUUCGGGUGUAGAUAAAGGAUUGAUGAAAGAUUUGAGUGUGUCACUGCUCAUUUUUGUAUAGAUUAUAGCCUCUUUUUUUGGUAGGUGGGGGAUCAGAUCUUUUGUUCAAUCUCUCUGAUAGACUCACGGAUGAUUCAAAAAGGUUUUUUCAGUGCCAUGUUGUGUGUAGUUUGUUUAAUGGCGCCGAUUUUACAUGCUCUGCUAAAUCCCCAGUAGAUACAGAUUCAGAAACAUAAAUGUUCAGAAAGAUUCAGUGUUGUGAUUCAGAUUUUAUAUGCUCUGCUAAAUUCACAGUAGAUACAGAUUCAGAAAGAUUGAGUGUUGUGAUUCAGGUUUUAUAUGAUCUGCUGAUUUUUUGUUUUUGUCUUUUUGCUGUCCAUGUGGUGUUCAUCUUUUUUGAUUUAAAGGGUGUGUCUACUGAAUUUAAUUUAUGAAAUGAUCUGUAUUUCCUCUCUGAGCUGCACCGCGAAGGAGACAGGGACGAGCGGCAGGCCGGCGACCAGCUGCGCAUCUCUCUUCUUCGUUGCUGAUUCCUGCCCAGGAUUUGCAACCAGGAUGUUGUGCGCAGUUUUCUUCUCUCAUUGCGCGUCGGACAACGACACGACAUUCGGCAUGUUUUUCCGGGAUCCGAAUGAAAGACUUGUGCUACUGCCAUGCUCUGUGACAGAGCGUUUCCCCAAGCACUUUGCUAGUGACUUUCUGAACUUUCGAGCUCAUGGCCACCGGUACGUUGUUUAUGUGUACACAGGAUCUGACAACAAGAAACGUAUCGGUGGCGAUGACUUGUCGAAGUUCAUGAAGGACUUCAACUUGGGGCUUGGGCAGCUUGUUGUUUUUGUGAUGACUGGGUGCAUUGCAAAAGCAUUUGUCUGCUCCUUCGGUGCUGGCUUUAUUGAUGGAGGUGGAGCUGGAGUAGCACAACAAGAGGAAGAGCAAGGAGGUGCUGACGAAGAGGGACAUGUGGAUGAGGAGGGGAUUGACGUAGAGAUCAUGGGAGAAGCACCCAUAGGCAUCAUAUACAGCAUGGGUGUAAGUUUGGAUUUGGAGGAGGAAGGCCGUCUUGCCAUGAUGAUUGACAUUGAGCAGGGGAACAUUGCUUCACGGUUUGUUCAUCGGUUCACAAGCACCAACAUCAUGAAGAAGUCAAUGAAAAUCCCAAACCAAGUGUGUGUGCUCCUGAAUAUUGGAGCUGAAGGAUUUAUUGGAGUUCGCUUGGGAGAAGGCCCGCUCUCAAGGGUUGCAUUCAAAACAGCCAAGGAUGGACGCAUGGUGUUCAAUAAGGAGUGGGGAGUUUUCGUGUCAACCUACAACUUGCAAGUAGGGAGUGCUGCUAUGUUCACCUUCAGUAGGAGCAAUGCUGCCCCCUUUGAUGUGGUCUGUGUUGUUGACAUCCUGAGCAUAUGAGCUUAUCAAAUGUCAGCACACAGCCUGCAUUGUUUUGCUCGCCAUCUUCAUUUUGCUGGCCUGCGCGCCAUGCCUGUUUUUUAUAUGAACUUUGUUGGAGUUUUUGCUUUUUCUUAUGGUUGAAAUGCACUUUAUGGUGUAGAAUUUGAACAUCGUCCGUCAUGGAAUUUAUGCUACCCCCUGCUGGCCUCUGUGGCUUUAUUUUUUUUGGAAUGUGAGGCAUUCAGUCUUUUAGUAUGCAAUAUCAGCAAUAGUAUGGAAGUAUCUCAUCUUUUUUUGGUGC